GACGAACGCUGGCGGCGUGCCUAAUACAUGCAAGUAGAACGCUGAAGGUGUAGCUUGCUUCUCUGGAUGAGUUGCGAACGAGUGAGUAACGCGAAGGUAACCUGACUGGUAGCGAGGGAUAACUCAUGAAAACGAUAGCUAUUACCGAAUAACAGUAGAAAUCCAAUAAUUUCUACAACAACAUUGCAAUUGCAUCAAUACCAGAAGGACCUGCGUUGUAUUAGCUAGUUGGUGAGGUAACGGCUCACCAAGGCGACGAUACAUAGCCGACCUGAGAGGGGGGUCGGCCAGCCGGGCAGUGAGACACGGCCCAGACUCCUGCGGUAGGCAGCAGUAGGGAAUCUUCCGCAAUGGAGGGGAGUGUGAUCGUGCAACGCGGCGGGAGUGCAGAAGGUGUUCGGAUCGUAGAGCGAUGUUGUUAGAGAAGAUCGAGUGUUAGUGUGGAAAGUUCGCACAGUGACGGUACCUUAUGAGAAAGGUACGGCUAACUACGUG
rnacentral:rRNA from 1 species